GGGCCUGUAGUUCAGCUGGCUAGAACAUCUCAUUUGCAAUGAGAAGGUCACCGGUUCAAGUCCGGUCGGGUCCACCC
rnacentral:tRNA from 1 species